ACACAGACCAUCGCUGCUACGUUUCGUUUGUGAGUGUUGUCCAUUAAACAGCUAUUAAAAUUUGCAUACGAGUAAGAAUUGGUAUAGGCUUAUUAAUUUAUGUACGCAUAGGUGCAAGCAAGCCAUUGUCACUUUUGAAGAGGGCGCGCCCCCUUGAAGAAACAAUAACGAUCGGAAUUGCGAGCGCAAACUAUGAGCAGACCAUAUUUACGGAGAACAUUUCAUCAAAAGAGCAAGAGUUGAAAAUAAAUUUUUUUGUUCUCGCUAGAUACCAUAACGACGUAGUAUAUCAUAGAAGUACAUAUGUGGAUAAAUUCUCAACUGAAUACUGAUGACACACCUCGGGUGACAGCCUUAAAAAUGGCGAUUUUAGCGAAUUAAAAAAACGACUAAAUUUUUGGAAGAAAUAGUUUAACAUUUUUCGAGUUUCGAGUUGGCACUAAAACAUAUUCACUUAUUCCGCUUUACUCCGUGGAUGAAACCUGAAACAAAUUCUCUACUACAAAAUAUUGUCGCUACAAUGACUUACGGUCGAAAAAAAUCAGAAAUUGAGAACAUGAAAAUGCGAAUGAAAAACAAAUUUUAAUUUACCCAAAAUUUUAUUUGUUUUUGGCAUGCUUUUAAUCAGAUCAUAAAACUGGUAAGUCAUGGAUGAAAUAUGAAAAACUACAUAUAUAUAGAAUAUGUAGACUCCGGGUAAUAAAUGCAACAAAUUCGAAUAAUACUGUUUCGAUAAAAACAUGUUUAAAGAUAA